AUUGAACGCUGGCGGCAGGCUUAACACAUGCAAGUCGAGCGAGCGGCGGACGGGUGAGUAAUGUCUGGGAAACUGCCUGCUGGAGGGGGAUAACUACUGGAAACGGUAGCUAAUACCGCAUACCAUCAGAUGUGCCCAGACGGGAUUAGCUAGUAGGUGGGGGGAUGGCUCACCUAGGCGACGAUCCCUAGCUGGUCUGAGAGGAUGACCAGCCCAACUGGAACGGAGACACGGUCCAGGCGCCUACGGUAGGCAGCAGUGGGGAAUAUUGCACAAUGGGCGCGAGCCUGAUGCAGCCAGGCCGCGUGUGUGAAGAAGGCCUUCGGGUUGUAAAGCACGUUCAGCGAGGAGGCGUUACUCGCAGAAGAAGCACCGGCUAACUCCGUGCCAGCAGCCGCGGUAAUUC
rnacentral:rRNA from 1 species